GCUGUCAGAAACACUAAAGUUAGACUGAUGCAGUAGCACUGAUGCUGGUGCUCUCACUGUUCAUCUUUACAAAUAGUUUUUUUUGUCCAGCAGGUGGAAGUAGAGACUGUACCACCGGCAGGACAGGUUACGUGUUGUCUCACAAAGAACUAUGGAGUGUUUUCA